rnacentral:pre_miRNA from 1 species
CAACUACUCCCUCUGUCCCAAAUUUCUUGUCUUAGAUUUGUCUAGAUACAGAUGUAUCUAAUACUAAAAUGUGACUUGAUACAUCCGUAUCUAGACAAAUCUAAGACAAGAAUUUUGGGAGGAGGGAGUACUUU